GGGGUGCUAGCUCAGUUGGUUAGAGCGCCGGCCUGUCAAGCCGGAGGUCGCGGGUUCGAGCCCCGUGCAUCCCGCCA
rnacentral:tRNA from 1 species